GUCUUAAUGCGAUCCAUUAACAACCCAAUAACUAAUUUCACACCUCUGCUCAUCUUAAACCCUAAACCCUAAAAAUCCUUAAACCCCAAAAACCUCGAUUUCCCCUCUCACUUUCACGUUAAGCCCGCAGGUCUCCUCCCAACGCGGUUGCACGAGCCCGCCUUCACCAUCGCGAGCAUAGGUUCAGCCACCGCGAGGCACACCGCUUCAACUCCAACAAGCUCUUAUCCUCCUCCGGUAGCUUUAACCGAAACCAAGUCUGUGCAUUUGCUUCUGGCGCGAAAUUUCCAGUGUUCUUUUUCUUCUCAACAUGGGAAAACAAUCUGGGAAAAACCUAGGUAAGUUUUUGUUUGGUUCCCUGCCCAUGAAUUGAAUUAGCAUGACUCAGAGGAUGCGGAUGAUGAUGAAGAAGGAGUUGAUGAUGAAGACCCUGAAAUGGCGGGAAUUGAGGAGCAUAGUGAAGAUUCUGAAAAUGAGGAUGACCAGGAGCCCUCUGACUCGGAUGACCGAGGGACUCAUGAUUCGGAUGCAGAACAGGACCUGGGAACUGGUUCUCAAUCUGCUGUUGAACCAUCAAUGUGCAUGAGGUGCAUUUACAUGAAAUAUCUUGUUCAUUUGGCUUUUGCAUUUUUAUUAUACAUUAACAUUAUUUCUGUAUGCUGUGUUAAGCUCGAUGUUAAUCACCACUAGCUUUUAUGUUUGUAUGUCUUACCAUUUUGGCAUCUUUUUUAAAUCAGAUUGUAUGCUUAUGUACACUUCAUUCCCCUAUUAUAUUUUGUAUUGUGCAGUUCCUAUUAUAUUUUCUGUUCUGCUCCUUGAUUCUUGUUGCUGAUAAUUGGCCUUUUUGUGCGGUUAAGGUGGACUUGAAUGAAAACAUGAAAUCAGUGGAUAUGGUCUUUAUUGAUUUAUGUUUUGACUUCAUUGAUUGAGAACCUAUCGGGAAUAUGGGUCACACAACAUUGAGACUCUGAAUUGUUCUUUUUGUUUCCUGGUGUGAUUUGAAUAUUUAUUAUGAAUAAGUGGCUACCUAGAAAAAAAUAAUAAUAUAUGUAUCACUGUACUCAGUUUCUUCUUAAAGUGUAAGGAAUUAGAUUGAUUCCUUAAUUAUGUUUCAGAUCUGGAAAUAACUUCUUCAGCUAAUUCACUUUUUUACUUUUCAACCUUCCAGAUUUAUCAGCGGUUUGAUGCAGACUCAAUAGAACAUUUUGAGGAUGCUCGUUUUGAAUAUUUUACUACAAAGAUCUUCCCAAAGAUAAAGAUUCUGUUGAGGGCGGGAUUAUGAUAUUUAUCAGUUCUUACUUUGAAUAUGUUCGAGUUCGGAAUUUUUUGAAGUCACAGAGUGCAUCCUUCUGUUUACUUCAUGAAUAUGCAGGACAAAGUGAUAUUUCUCAUGCAUGGGUUCGGUUCUUUGAAGGCAAGCGGAAGAUAAUGCUUUAUACUGAGAAAUCACACUUUCACCACAGAUAUAAGGUUCUUUAGACUGCUUUGAGCAUGCUUUUCUUGUCCAAAUGCUGAUGUAUUUUGUGCCUUUCCAUGGCGUUCAGAAUUUAAUCACAUAUUCUCUGCCUAAGAGAAAGGAAUUUUACCCUGAGGUGAGCUCGAUACAAAUUGUCAUUCUCUUUAAGAAGCAAUUGAAGAGCUACCAAAUUUAAAAAUAAUAAUAAUGGAAGUGUCUUGUCUUUGAUACUUUAUAUAAUUCAUUUUGAGAUACAGUCAUAUUCUUCUUUUCGUAAACCAAAACGCUCUUUUUAUUUAAUUGCAGAUUGCUAAUAUGCUUGAUGGGUCCAAUGACAUGGUAUGCACAGUGCUCUUUUCUCAAUUUGAUCUCCUUCGGGUAAUGUUUUGUUCUCUUAUAAGUGUGCUGGAUCGUUCUUUGAUUACGAGGAUGAGAUAGGGUAGUUGUUAACUUUGCUAGAAGUUUUGAAUGUUUAACAACUUAGGAUCCUUUAUAUUAGAAACUGGCACGGUUCUCAUCAAUUGAAUAAAGAAACUGCCUAACAUCAGAAUUGUGUGAAUCUCCUGUUGUCGUUUUACACAGCCUGAUGUCGCGAAUAUGAAUUAGAUUCUGUAUUUUGUUUGUUUGUUUGAUUAUCGGACCAAUGAAUACUGAAAAACUUGA